rnacentral:rRNA from 1 species
AGGAUGAACGCUGGCGGCGUGCUUAACACAUGCAAGUCGAACGGUGAUAGCAAUAUCACAGUGGCGCACGGGUGAGGAACACGUAGCUUAUCUGCCCCGAAGUGUGGGAUAACGCUCCGAAAGGAGUGCUAAUACCGCAUAAGCUCCCGGACUAUAGAGGUCUGAGAGAAAAGGCGCAAGUCGCUUUGGGAGGAGGCUGCGGCCCAUCAGGUAGUUGGUGCGGUAACGGCGCACCAAGCCAACGACGGGUAGGGGACCUGAGAGGGUGAGUCCCCCACGACUGGGACUGAGACACGGCCCAGACUCCUACGGGAGGCAGCAGUGAGGAAUAUUGCCAAUGGACGAAAGUCUGAGGCAGCGACGCCGCGUGGGUGAUGAAGGGCCUUGGGCGUAAAGCCUUUUCUGCGUGACGAGAACAGGACGUAGCGCAGGAAAAAGUCUGGCUAACUAGUGCCAGCAGCCGC